AACGAACGCUGGCGGCAUGCCUAACACAUGCAAGUCGAACGAGACCUUCGGGUCUAGUGGCGCACGGGUGCGUAACGCGUGGGAACCUGCCCUUAGGUUCGGAAUAACUCCCCGAAAGGGGUGCUAAUACCGGAUAAUGUCUUCGGACCAAAGAUUUAUCGCCUUUGGAUGGGCCCGCGUUGGAUUAGCUAGUUGGUAGGGUAAAAGCCUACCAAGGCGACGAUCCAUAGCUGGUCUGAGAGGAUGAUCAGCCACACUGGGAUUGAGACACGGCCCAGACUCCUCCGGGAGGCAGCAGUGGGGAAUAUUGGACAAUGGGCGAAAGCCUGAUCCAGCAAUGCCGCGUGAGUGAUGAAGGCCUUAGGGUUGUAAAGCUCUUUUACCCGGGAUGAUAAUGACAGUACCGGGAGAAUAAGCUCCGGCUAACUCCGUG
rnacentral:rRNA from 1 species